UACGUAGGGUGCAAGCGUUAAUCGGAAUUACUGGGCGUAAAGCGUGCGCAGGCGGUGAUGUAAGACAGAUGUGAAAUCCCCGGGCUCAACCUGGGAACUGCAUUGUGACUGCAUUGCUGGAGUGCGGCAGAGGGGGAUGGAAUUCCGCGUGUAGCAGUGAAAUGCGUAGAUAUGCGGAGGAACACCGAUGGCGAAGGCAAUCCCCUGGGCCUGCACUGACGCUCAUGCACGAAAGCGUGGGGAGCAAACAGG
rnacentral:rRNA from 1 species